rnacentral:rRNA from 1 species
GAGUCGGACCUGCCCAGUGAAUAACUUUUUAACGGCCGCGGUACUCUGACCGUGCAAAGGUAGCAUAAUCAUUUGCCCUAUAAUUGAGGGCUAGUAUGAAUGGUUUGACGUGAACAAGACUGUCUCUAUGUAAUUUUUUAGAAUUUGAUUUCUAGGUGAAGAAACCUAGAUAGUAUUGAAAGACAAGAAGACCCUAUUGAGCUUUAGAUAAAUAAAUUGAGAACAAUAGUAUAAAUUUAGAUAUUAAUCUAUUUAACAUUUUGGUUGGGGCGACUAUGGAACAAAUAAAGCUUCUUUAAUAUUAAAAGAUCGUCAGAUUUUGAUCCAGAAAUUCUGAUUAAUGAAAUUAGUUACCAUAGGGAUAACAGCAUAAUUCUCUUUGAGAGCUCUUAUCGAAAAGGGAGUUUGUGACCUCGAUGUUGGACUAGAAUAUCCUAAAGAUGCAGCAGUCUUUAAGGGUUGGUC